rnacentral:lncRNA from 1 species
ACCUGGAUCACUUCUCUGAUACGCUGGUCACGGCAGUUUCGAAAUCUCCACACACCAUCACGCAAAACUUCACAUACCCUUGCCUCCCUGGCUAUACCAAGAUUCUGUGUACCAAUCUCACUAGUAAGUUCAAUUAUAUGACCCUGCGGAUGCCACAAAUCAUUCCAGAACCUCACAUUUCGACCAUCUCUGAUGUUCAUCCGUAUGAAGUUUUUUGCUAAAUAUUUCAACCUUUACAAUUUCCUCCAAACCCAAGACCCU